UACGUAGGUGGCAAGCGUUAUCCGGAUUUACCGGGUGUAAAGGGAGCGUAGGCGGGACUUUAAGUCAGAUGUGAAAUACCGGGGCUCAACCCCGGGGCUGCAUUUGAAACUGGAGUUCUUGAGUGUCGGAGAGGUAAGUGGAAUUCCUAGUGUAGCGGUGAAAUGCGUAGAUGUUAGGAGGAACACCAGUGGCGAAGGCGACUUACUGGACGAUAACUGACGCUGAGGCUCGAAAGUGUGGGGAGCAUAC
rnacentral:rRNA from 1 species